rnacentral:rRNA from 1 species
GAUGAACGCUGGCGGCGUGCCUAAUACAUGCAAGUCGAGCGAACAGAUGAGGAGCUUGCUCCUCUGACGUUAGCGGCGGACGGGUGAGUAACACGUGGAUAACCUACCUAUAAGACUGGGAUAACUUCGGGAAACGAGCUAAUACCGGAUAAUAUAUUGAACCGCAUGGUUCAAUAGUGAAAGACGGUUUUGCUGUCACUUAUAGAUGGAUCCGCGCCGCAUUAGCUAGUUGGUAAGGUAACGGCUUACCAAGGCAACGAUGCGUAGCCGACCUGAGAGGGUGAUCGGCCACACUGGAACUGAGACACGGUCCAGACUCCUACGGGAGGCAGCAGUAGGGAAUCUUCCGCAAUGGGCGAAAGCCUGACGGAGCAACGCCGCGUGAGUGAUGAAGGUCUUCGGAUCGUAAAACUCUGUUAUUAGGGAAGAACAAAUGUGUAAGUAACUAUGCACGUCUUGACGGUACCUAAUCAGAAAGCCACGGCUAACUACGUG